rnacentral:rRNA from 1 species
GACGAACGCUGGCGGCGUGCCUAAUACAUGCAAGUAGAACGCUGAAGGAGGAGCUUGCUUCUCUGGAUGUGUUGCGAACGGGUGAGUAACGCGUAGGUAACCUGCCUGGUAGCGGGGGAUAACUAUUGGAAACGAUAGCUAAUACCGCAUAAUAGUAGAUGUUGCAUGACAUUUGCUUAAAAGGUGCAAUUGCAUCACUACCAGAUGGACCUGCGUUGUAUUAGCUAGUUGGUGGGGUAACGGCUCACCAAGGCGACGAUACAUAGCCGACCUGAGAGGGUGAACGGCCACACUGGGAACGAGACAAGGCCCAGAACCCUAAGGGAGGCAGCAGGAGGGAAACUUCGGCAAUGGACGGAAGUCUGACCGAGCAAAGCCGCGUGAGGGGAGAAGGUUUUCGGAUCGUAAAGCUCGGUUGUAAGAGAAGAAAGAGUGUGAGAGUGGAAAGUUCACACUGUGACGGUAUCUUAACAGAAAGGGACGGCUAACUACGUG